rnacentral:lncRNA from 1 species
UUGAACCCGAUCAGUAUUCAAUCGAUCUGAUCCAGAAGUAGACUUUGAUCAAUACAAUACUCGGAUGAUUCUCACUGAUAUCGCUAUAUGCUAGAGAUGGCUUUCUAAGAGAUCGACCUUCUACCUCAUGAUGAAGUCGGCCUUCAACUUUCUGAUGAGGUCGGUCUUAUGAUGAUCUUAGAGUUUCGAUGAGAUCGACUUUAUGAUGAUCUCAACUUUUCGAUGAGGUCGGCUUUAUGAUGAUCUUAGAGUUCCGAUGAGAUCGACUUUAUGAUGAUCUCAGCUCUGAUAAGAUCGGCUUUAUGAUGAUCUUAGAGUUCCGAUGAGGUCAGCUUUAUGAUGAUCUCAGAGUUUCGAUGAGAUUGGCUUAAUGAUGAUCUCAUCCUCCCAAUAAAAUUGGCUUUAUGAUGACCUCAGCCUUCCACUGAGGUCGAUUUUAUGAUGAUCUCAACCUUCCAAUAAGAUCGACUUUAUGAUGACCUUAAUCUUUCACUAAGAUCGGCUUUAUUAUCG